AUGCCGUGCAGCUUCUCAUCCCUCCUCCCUGUGUGUGUGUGUGUGUAUGUGUGUGUGUGCUCUAUGUUGCCUUCUGACCUCUACUUCAAGAAGACCCUGGGUGUAUGGGGGUGGGGGUGCAAGGAGAGGGAUUCUAGUGGUGGGAAGAAGGAGGGGACACCCUCUGCAGUUUCAGCCCUUAUGCAUUAAGGUGUGCGGCAAUCCCUGCAGGCAAGGGUGCCUCUUCUUAACUCAUGCUUUACCCUCUCUUCAGUCUGUGCUCUCUCUCUCUUUCUCUCUCUCUCUCCCUCUCCCCCUCUCGCUUGCUCCCUCAGUUGUAAGCUUUAAAGAUCUCCUUCCCUACCCUCCCCCUGCUAAGCCUGGGAUGCAGCAGGAGAAAUUGAGUUGUAGUGGUAUUUGUGGUGGUGAUAGGGACUGGGAGGAGGUGGUACUGAGGAGGGGUUGGGGGAAAGAAUGAGGGUUGCCUGUUCAUUUUUUUUUUCUCCAAGUGAGGACUAAUACCAUUACUGGGCCUGCUCUCUUUUCCCUUCCUGCAUUAGAGAUUGGCUAUAGGAGAGAGCUGAUGGCUGCAGCAUCAAGCGCAUUAUUACCUUGUGAUUCCAUGACCCUCCUCCAUGCAUCCCUAACUCUCUAAAGCUGAUUCAGCUUUCAGCUAGUGCUCUGGUGACUCUACUGCUGCAACAGAAUCUCCUAACUGGUAGAUCUCAGCCAUCCUCAGCGGUUCCGGAGUUCAUCUGAAUGAAAAUUUUUAACAAAUAAAUGUUAAAAGGCAAAAAUUUGCCCUUUCCGGGGCUCGCCUCUGUGAGAGGCGAGCUCUCAUUUACUGUGACCUGCAGAGGAAACCUUGGGACUCACUAGCUCCAUAAAGCAGAAAAUCUUGUGCCUCAAUGGGAGAAGCUGUCAAUGCGGCAGGCCUUGCAACUCCUUCCCAGGAGUAAUCUGAGAGUUCUUGGCUCCCUGGAGGCGACAUGGCCGAAGUGGUUUUAUGAUUCUAGGACAUUUUCUAGUCCUUUGAAGUGACGACCAUGGAACUGGAGGACCCAACUUGGGCCUGUGUACAGGGAUAUCUCCAAGCAAGUUUCAGUUUCCCCCUUGUACGUCUCUGUUCAAUUUCAUGCAUCACUGGAGUGGAACGUGAGGCAAGAUAUCACAGGCUUCUCCUUGGUGCAGAAUGUCCAGCGUCAUAAAUGCUAGACUGCAGGAAAAGAGCCAGAGGAAAAUCAGUCUUUUUAGGUGGCUUCUCUUCGGAAAGUCAUGUACUGCUUUGUAGAAAGCCAGAGCAUUUGGAAGCCAUGCGCUAGAGAAGCCCAGGCAUGACCUCCGCCGGAAAUGGGCCAGAGUGGGGAAGGAUGCUUGUUUUUGUUCUGCGUGGGCUCCUUGGAGGGUUACAAAAUGCUGGACACAGCUUGAGCUGUUCACAUGCAAUAACCCCUCUGCAUCAGAUGUACCCCAUUUUGUCCACAGAAGAAUAUCCUCAAGUCUCCAAAACAGAGGGAAGCACAGAUAUUGAAAAUUAGAGACAAAGCCUUGAAUUCCACAAUGACUUCAGGUAUGGGACCACUUCAGGGCUGGGUGACUUGAGCUGGCUAGUCCUGUCCUGCUCCCUCCAGUGGGUUUCAGAAUCUGGAACCACAUUCACUGUCCUCUUUCACUGAGAUUCUCUAAGCCUGAAGACAGUCACAUUCCAAACCAUGAGGGAAUAUUUUUCAGUAGGCUGGGAUACUCAUCCAACUCUGGCCCAUCCAGCCUCUUCUGCUUCACACCAGGACAGGGAAUGAAUAAUGCUGGAUGGCAGUUGCCUCACGGAGCUGAGAAUUUAAAAUGAAAGGAGAAGUGCAGGGAAGAAAAUGAGUUGCCGCAUCAGUGCUACUGUCCUGAAUGCAGUGACAGCCUGCUUUCCUCCCUGGCCUGGUUGCCAGUUCCUCAAUUCAAUAUAAAAUCUUUGUUACUUGUUCAAGGACACUAAGGGGGCUCAGGACUUCCCUCCCAUAUAAUCUGUGUUCUGCAGAUAUCAUCCCCUGCAGCAAGCAGGCUACUUUUCCUCAGAGGACUUUCCAUGCCCCAAAUUCAAGCAGACUCACAGGAAGUAGGAUAGGAGAGUAUCAAUGAGAAACCCAGAACGAAGCAGAGCUGCAGCAUCCAGAGAAGAUAAGGUUGAUGUAUCCUGGUACUUCCCUGCCCUCCCUCAGAACAAGCUGGAGAUGCUGGAAGACUGCCUGAUAUAAAUCCAGCUGUUUGACUUCAUUGAUUACAUCAUGGAAACACGUGCACAGAAGAAACUUUGUUCUAUAAGUUUAAGGUUUAUCUAAGAAAGCGUUUAUUCAAAUAUUCAGGCUGAAGAGGAGUCACACAUGUUCCACAAUUAACUUUUUGGUUUCUGAGUAAGCCCCUGGGGUUACUAACUAUGAAUGAGUGACAUGUUGGAAGGCACAAAGUUUGAAAUUGUAAAUACUAGGGCAAGACACUUAUUAGAAUAUAGAAAAUUCAAGUUUAAGCAGAAAUAAGCAGCAUGGCUCAGUGGAAAGAGCCUGGGCUUCAGAAUCAGAGGUCAUGGGUUUGA